rnacentral:rRNA from 1 species
UGGGGGAUAUUGCACAAUGGGGGAAACCCUGAUGCAGCGACGCCGCGUGGGUGAAGAAGCGUUUCGGCGCGUAAAGCCCUGUCAGCAGGGAAGAAAAAAAGACGGUACCUGAAGAAGAAGCCCCGGCUAACUACGUGCCAGCAGCCGCGGUAAUACGUAGGGGGCAAGCGUUAUCCGGAUUUACUGGGUGUAAAGGGAGCGCAGACGGCAUGCCAAGUCCGGAGUGAAAGCCCGCGGCCCAACCGCGGGACUGCUCUGGAAACUGGCAGGCUCAGAGUGCAGGAGGGGUAAGUGGAAUUCCUGGUGUAGCGGUGAAAUGCGCAGAUAUCAGGAGGAACACCAGUGGCGAAGGCGGCUUACUGGACUGCAACUGACGUUGAGGCUCGAAAGCGUGGGGAGCAAACAGG